rnacentral:rRNA from 1 species
GUCUGAGAGGAUGAUCAGCCACACUGGAACUGAGACACGGUCCAGACUCCUACGGGAGGCAGCAGUGGGGAAUAUUGCACAAUGGAGGAAACUCUGAUGCAGCAACGCCGCGUGGAGGAUGACGCAUUUCGGUGUGUAAACUCCUUUUAUAUGGGAAGAUAAUGACGGUACCAUAUGAAUAAGCACCGGCUAACUCCGUGCCAGCAGCCGCGGUAAUACGGAGGGUGCAAGCGUUACUCGGAAUCACUGGGCGUAAGGCGCGCGCAGGCGGCCUUUUAAGUUGGAUGUGAAAGCCUAUGGCUCAACCAUAGAACUGCAUCCAAAACUAUCAGGCUAGAGUGUGGGAGAGGAAGAUGGAAUUAGUUGUGUAGGGGUAAAAUCCGUAGAGAUAACUAGGAAUACCAAAAGCGAAGGCAAUCUUCUGGAACAUUACUGACGCUGAGGCGCGAAAGCGUGGGGAGCAAACAGGAUUAGAUACCCUGGUAGUCCACGCCCUAAACGAUGAAUGUUAGUCGUCGGGUAGCUAGUCUAUUCGGUGAUGCAGCUAACGCAUUAAACAUUCCGCCUGGGGAGUACGGUCGCAAGAUUAAAACUCAAAGGAAUAGACGGGGACCCGCACAAGUGGUGGAGCAUGUGGUUUAAUUCGAAAAUACGCGAAGAACCUUACCUAGCCUUGACAUAUUUUAGAACACUUUAGAGAUAGAGUGGUGCCUUCGGGAGCUAAUAUACAGGUGCUGCACGGCUGUCGUCAGCUCGUGUCGUGAGAUGUUGGGUUAAGUCCCGCAACGAGCGCAACCCUCGUCACUAGUUACUAACGGUUCGGCCGAGGACUCUAGUGAGACUGCCUUCGCAAGGAGGAGGAAGGUGAGGGCGACGUCAAGUCAUCAUGGCCCUUACGGCUAGGGCAACACACGUGCUACAAUGGCCAGGACAAUGAGAAGCGAUACCGCGAGGUGGAGCAAAUCUAUAAACCUGGUCUCAGUUCGGAUUGUAGUCUGCAACUCGACUACAUGAAGCUGGAAUCACUAGUAAUCGUAGAUCAGCUAUGCUACGGUGAAUACGUUCCCGGGUCUUGUACUCACCGCCCGUCACACCAUGGGAGUUGAUUUCACCCGAAGCGGGGAAGCUAAACUGGCUACCCUCCACGGUGGAAUCAGCGACUGGGGUGAAGUCGUAACAAGGUAACCGUAGGAGAACCUGCGGUUG